CGAACGGGUGAGUAACGCGUGAGGAACCUGCCUCAAAGAGGGGGACAACAGUUGGAAACGACUGCUAAUACCGCAUAAGCCCACGGCUCGGCAUCGAGCAGAGGGAAAAGGAGCAAUCCGCUUUGAGAUGGCCUCGCGUCCGAUUAGCUAGUUGGUGAGGUAACGGCCCACCAAGGCGACGAUCGGUAGCCAGACUGGGAGGUUGAACGGCCACAUUGGGACUGAGACACGGCCCGG
rnacentral:rRNA from 1 species